rnacentral:rRNA from 1 species
AUUGAACGCUGGCGGCAUGCCUUACACAUGCAAGUCGAACGGCAGCACGGGUGCUUGCACCUGGUGGCGAGUGGCGAACGGGUGAGUAAUACAUCGGAACAUGUCCUGUAGUGGGGGAUGGCCCGGCGAAAGCCGGAUUAAUACCGCAUACGAUCUACGGAUGAAAGCGGGGGACCUUCGGGCCUCGCGCUAUAGGGUUGGCCGAUGGCUGAUUAGCUAGUUGGUGGGGUAAAGGCCUACCAAGGCGACGAUCAGUAGCUGGUCUGAGAGGACGACCAGCCACACUGGGACUGAGACACGGCCCAGACUCCUACGGGAGGCAGCAGUGGGGAAUUUUGGACAAUGGGCGAAAGCCUGAUCCAGCAAUGCCGCGUGUGUGAAGAAGGCCUUUGGGUUGUAAAGCACUUUUGUCCGGAAAGAAAUCCUUGGCCCUAAUACGGUCGGGGGAUGACGGUACCGGAAGAAUAAGCACCGGCUAACUACGUG